rnacentral:rRNA from 1 species
UCGCUCGAAGAUGAGCCCGCGGCCCAUCAGCUAGUUGGCGGGGUAAUGGCCCACCAAGGCUACGACGGGUAGCUGGUCUGAGAGGACGACCAGCCACACUGGGACUGAGACACGGCCCAGACUCCUACGGGAGGCAGCAGUGGGGAAUCUUGCGCAAUGGGCGAAAGCCUGACGCAGCGACGCCGCGUGUGUGAUGAAGGCCCUUGGGUCGUAAAGCACUGUCGCGAGGGA